rnacentral:rRNA from 1 species
GAUGAACGCUGGCGGCGUGCCUAAUACAUGCAAGUCGAGCGAACGGACGAGAAGCUUGCUUCUCUGAUGUUAGCGGCGGACGGGUGAGUAACACGUGGAUAACCUACCUAUAAGACUGGGAUAACUUCGGGAAACCGGGGCUAAUACCGGAUAAUAUUUUGAACCGCAUGGUUCAAAAGUGAAAGACGGUCUUGCUGUCACUUAUAGAUGGAUCCUCUCUGCAUUAGCUAGUUGGUAAGGUAACGGCUUACCAAGGCAACGAUGCAUAGCCGACCUGAGAGGGUGAUCGGCCACACUGGAACUGAGACACGGUCCAGACUCCUACGGGAGGCAGCAGUAGGGAAUCUUCCGCAAUGGGCGAAAGCCUGACGGAGCAACGCCGCGUGAGUGAUGAAGGUCUUCGGAUCGUAAAACUCUGUUAUUAGGGAAGAACAUAUGUGUAAGUAACUGUGCACAUCUUGACGGUACCUAAUCAGAAAGCCACGGCUAACUACGUG